GCCAGAAGCAAUAUUUAAAAGAUUCAACAACUUCAAAGAGGAAAGAAUCGUGAUUUACAUUAGUUUGGCUGUAAGCUAUGGAUACUUUGCUGGAACAAUAAAAGCAGAAGGGAACUAUACCGCGAUUCGCAUCCCAUUGUUCACAAAGUCACAUGCACGAUUUAUUUACAGCAAAUGGUUUCAAGUAUCAGCGACAAGCAUAAAUUAACGUAGCAUAGAGCAGCAAGAGAUCAAAGGAGGUGAAGCAGGGUGGCGACUGGUGACUGUUCGAGCAAUCAGAGCAAACUGUAGCGCGAAAAUACGAUAACUGGAUGUAACGAACCACUCGGAUAUCCUCGUG
rnacentral:misc_RNA from 1 species